CCAGCCGCGGUAAUUCCAGCUCCAAUAGCGUAUAUUAAAGUUGUUGCAGUUAAAAAGCUCGUAGUUGAAUUUCGGGAUUGACACAUCGGUCGUGCCUUAAGGGGUAUGAACUGGUGUAGUCAAUUUCUCACCUUCUGGAGAACCGCGAUGCCCUUAAUUGGGUGUCGCGGGGAACCAGGACCUUUACUUUGAAAAAAUUAGAGUGUUUAAAGCAGGCAUUUUGCUUGAAUACAUUAGCAUGGAAUAAUAAAAUAGGACGGCAUGAUUCUAUUUUGUUGGUUUCUAGGAUCACCGUAAUGAUUAAUAGGGAUAGUUGGGGGCAUUAGUAUUCAAUUGUCAGAGGUGAAAUUCUUGGAUUUAUUGAAGACUAACUACUGCGAAAGCAUUUGCCAAGGAUGUUUUCAUUAAUCAAGAACGAAAGUUAGGGGAUCGAAGACGAUCAGAUACCGUCGUAGUCUUAACCAUAAACUAUGCCGACUAGGAAUCAGACGAUGUUAAUUUUUUAAUGACUCGUUUGGCACCUUACG
rnacentral:rRNA from 1 species